AAUGAUUCCAUACGAUCUCUUCAAAAUCUGCCACCUUUUCCAAAUAAUGUUUCAGAUAUCAGCAACCAAAUAAUUUCAGCGAUUCCAGCCGGCUUUUUCAUUUUGACGAGUGUGGCGCUGCUGCACAUCGCCAAAAAAAUGAAAUGCAGAUGAAAGUGCCUCACAAAAGCCAAGAAUGAGAUGAAAAAGGCAGAACGAAGGCAGUAGGAAGAGAAAAGGAAAGAACAAAGUGCCACUUUGAUAAUAACCAGUGUGAGCUUGAACUAGUCCGUUUAUUUAUUGAGUAUUUAUUUGAUAUAUUUUAGGCGAAGCGUGUAUUUUGAUAGCUGUCAUAGAUUAGUGGAAAUAGGUUGUGCAAAACAACGCUUAUUAUAAAUUAUUGCUAAGGCUUAUUUUGUUUGUUUUAUGAGGCAGAAUUAUUGAUGAUCCAAUUCAAAAGGUAAUAGUUGGAAAAUUUAAAUUCUAGGAUUCGAUUCAUAAGGUUAACUGCCCAUUAGUUUGCAAAUACACAUUUCAAGAUUUGUUCCAAAAGGUAAUAGAUAAGGUUCUGUUAGUUUGAAAACUGCAAUUUUAGGAUCCGAUUCAAAAGGUCAACUGCCCAUUAGUUUGCAAAUAUACAUCUCAAGAUUCGUUUAUUAUAAAUUAUUGCUAAGGCUUAUUUUGUUGGGUUUAUGAGGCAGAAUAAUUAUGGUUAAUCCAUUUCAAAAGGUAAUAGUUUGAACAUUUAAAUUUUAGGAUUCGAUUCAAAAGGUUAACUGCCCAUUAGUUUGCAAAUAUACAUUUCAAGACUCGUUUCAAAAGAUAAUAGAUAAGGUUCUGUUAGUUUGAAAACUGAAAAGUUAGGAUUCUAUUCAAAAGAUUAAAUGACCAUUAGUUUGCAUAUAUACAUCUCAAGAUUCGUUUCAAAAGGUAAUUGAUAAUUGUUUGUUAAGCCAGGUUUACACGUGGGUGGGCCAUGUGAGUCAUGUUUCUUUUACCGUCCUUAUAGUUUAUAUUAGAUUGAACGUAACUUGGCAAAUACAUGAUGUGUUCAUCAUAAGUUUGUAAAGGUCUGUUUAAACAGGUAGAAUUUAUAAGGACGGAAAAAGAAGCAUUUUGUAGUUAACUCUGGUGUAAACGUGGCUCAAAUUGAAAAAAUUAACGUUAGGUUAAUAAAAGAAAUUGGAUUGAUUAAUGCCCGUAUGCAGAUAGGCUCAACUCACACUUAAGCGAUUCAGGUCGAGAAGAGACUCGACUCUAGUCGAGAGCAUGUGUUUCCAAGUGUCACUCAGACCAAUCGAUUCUAGUUUCGAGUUGAGCCAUACUCAGUUAAACGGAGAUAUGUCAGCUGUUCGUUUAAACCCCGAAUUUAAACGUGGUUUAGCGUUAAACGUUGGUGCAUAUGGCCGUUAUACAGUCGAAAAUUUAAAUGUAAGGUUCAGUUGAUUUCAAACUAUAAAUUCCAAAAGUUGAAAGAAUGUUCGUAUAAGUUGAUUUUAAAGCAGAAAAUUUUAAAUUUCAAGAUUUGAAAGAUUUAUGCCUGGUUGCAGUGUCGUCACAUAAAGUUAAAAACAGGCAAUUAACUCAUUUACGAAGCCAUAAAUUCACUUUCUGUUGCACAGAUGACAAAGUAAACUAUAGCUCCCAUAAAAAUAAAAACGCCCAAUUAGACACAUGAUUUCGUUGCACAGUCGUCAGAAAGAGCUUAUUUAUGUCUCCAAUAGCUAAAAACGGUCAGUCAAGUUAUGGGCCCGAAGUCGUGCUGUCCCGCCAAAUACAUUUUAGAGGUUGUGUUAGCUUUUUUUUGAAAGAUGUUUACGAAAAUCCAUCUGUAUAUAAGUAAAUUAUUUUUUCUCUCCCUAUGUUUUUUCAAGUUGUUUAUAGCCUCCAAAUCGCUAAAUAUGGUGAGAAAACUCGCCAAAAGCCAAGAGUCACCACAUUGUUCAUCAAUUUUAUGUGAGGUCUUUUAGGUCUGUUCACAGUGAUGUCGAUUGAAACUUUCCCGAUUCCAAGACAUUAGUUGGAUAGAAGUGUAUACGGAAAAACGUUAAUAGAUCUACAGUGUGACUUAUGUGUGAUGCUAAUUUGAGAUAUAGCUAAAUGGGCUUCGGCAAUGACCAACCAUUUAUGUCAGUGAUUUUAAACUAUGUCUCACUUAGCUAUAUUUGAUUUUAUGUAACAACUCUGCAACCGGGCAUUAGUUUUGUUUUUAGCAGAGUUUGUACAAAGAUUGAUCAGCAAAGUGAAAUUAAGUUUAAACGAUUAGCACUCGUUGAAUUGAAAUAAUAAUUGAUGUUAUUUAUAAGGAAUGUUAGAAGUUUGAAGAGGAUAUCACUUUGAGAAGCCUAUUAUUGUUAUCUUAACUUGAAAUAAUCGUAGUUGAGAAUAAAUAAAAAAUAUAACAGUUUCAAGAAAACAAUGAAAUAUCAUACCAAGCAUUCAUUUAAUCGCUAGAUAAAUCAAAUUAUAACUUUGGUGAUAGAUUCAUUUGAAACUGUCAGCAUUGGAUAAAUGGGAAGCAUUGAUGCUAUUCAUUGAGGAAUGCUGACAGUUUCAAGUAAAUCUCACACUAUGAAAAAUUGAAAAUACUUGAAAUACUAAAAUGAAUUAUUAGAUUUGCGAUUGAGUUCUGUUAAAUAUCUGUUUGUAGGUUACUAAUAAUACAUUAAACUCAAUAAUUAUAUGGUGCAGUUUAAUAGAAUAUAAUAGAAGAAUACAGUAGUUUCGGCCAUUUUUUCUGUUAAAUUGGAAGAAGUUUUUGUAGAAUUGUUUUGUUUAACAAAAAAAAAAUUAUAAAAGAUGUAGUUAUCAGUGUAGUUCAAAUUCUUCAAAAAAUCAGUUUUGAAGAGUUGAAUUUCUAUGAAAUUUCCUUGUAUUUGGAUAAGAUUUGAAUUAUUACUCUUGUUUUCUAUAAAAAAUAAUUGUGUGUAAAAAAUAAAACCACAAUUAAUAAUUAAAGUGUACAGGUUGCGGUAUAUUUAUAAUUUCCAAAAAAAUUGGUACCAAUUUUACAAGUUAUACAAAAUUGAUACAAUACGGUACAGUAAUUCAUAUAUUUCAUAACAAUAUGUAGGCUCAUUCCAAAUUUUAAAUUCACGAUAUUAUAAUGAUGUGAGAAAUAUUUUGAAUAAUAGUAUCUUACGUCACAAGGACGGGAAGGGGCCUUUUGCAGGCGAGAACGAUGUUUCUAGUCGAGGCAUUAGCCGAGCACUGCAAAAGACAUUCAGGUCCAAGUAACGUACACUAUUUUUUGUCAUAAUAAUCUAAAGAAGAGUAAUUGAGAAAUAGAAAACAUUACCUGCUUGUGCUGAAGUUACUACAUGCAUUCUAUAAGCAUAACCUAGUUUACAAAUUCUGAAUUUUGUGGAAGUUGACAAAACUUCCACCUGGAGUGCUGAAGGUGUUUUUUGUAGCAGUUUUGCUGUUCCUAUUUCGGAACUAGGAAGCUGUAAAGAAAACAUAUGGUUUCAUUACAGUAGAGUAUGCUGUAAUGAGAAUCAUAUGUUUUUUGUUCUGCAAACAGCGUUUUACCGACUUGAUUUCAUGCAUGAGCUGAGAUUGAAUGACUAUGACAAAAAAUUAUAAACAUUUUUUGGUUGAUGGAAUCUCUUAGCGGAGGCUAGCUUAGCUGAAAAUUUCGCAUCGAAUUGCCAAUUUUGAAACUUGAUUUUUUUCAAAUAUUUUGUUCGAUUGAUAAAUCAAGGGGCAAGACAUUUUUAUUUAAAUAAAUCGAAGUCUACUUAUAAUAUUAAAUAAUACAAUAUUUGUAUUUAUUCAAAAAUAUAACUGGAGGUUCCGAAAUAUUAUUUACAAUUGAAGUUGUUUACAUUCCUACUCACUGCACUUGUUUAUAACCUUCUAAUCAAUCAACGUUUUUGAUUAUUUUUUCAAUGUUAUGCACUCUAUUGUAAAAAUAUUAUGUUUUCAAUGCACACUUUUGUUUAAAAUGCGUCCCUCACCAUAUUUAUAUCUUAAUAAUUUUUUUGAAUAAUUUUUAAGAACUUUUCAAUGCUCAAAUUUUAAAUUUAUGGUUUAUAAAGUUCUGCAAACUAUUUGUAUUUGUGCUGUCUAUCAACGAAUUAGAAAAAUUGUUGACUGAGUUUAUUUCUCAAUUUUUUUGUUCAUUUUAUAGAAUGUAAUAAUUAUUUAUUGUGCUCAUUAGUUCGACUAUGUACUUAAAGGUAGUAUAUACCUAAAGGGAUUAUGUACUUGAAGUAACUGUAUUGUAGUAUAAGUUCUUAUGUACAGGUUCGGCAAGAAACUCUUACAUUUGUGGAAAAAUUAUGCAGAGUUUUAAGGUUUUAAAUAUUUUGUAAACGUUACCAAGUCAUGUGUUUUUCCUGUGUAAUGUAUUUUAUCUACCUGUAUUGUCCAGUCUUUUUUAUAGUAGUAUUUGUAUAAGUUCCUGAAAGCGAUUUAUAUGCUAUAGUGAGGUCCACGUUAUAAUGGCAGUGUUUGAUUAGCAAUGAUGUUGCUAUCCUUGUCUAUCAUUCAACAAAGCGGAUAGCGCUCUCUCUCGCUUUGCCAGAUCGUCUUUUAACAAUGUAGAAUUAAUAAUUAACAAAAUAUUUCAUCUUAAUUAUGAAAAUUUAUCAUGGAAAAAUAUAAUUUCUUGCUUAAUAAAAUAUAAUUGAUUAUUUUCAACGAGAAUGAACAGUUAAUAUUACAUCAAUAAACCUGUAUCAGCUACCGGCAUUGACAAGACAGAGGAUCGGCAACGUUUUUCUCCUAUUUUUCUCCACUGCCAUUAUAACGUGGACCCUACGAAUAUUUCGAAUGAUUUUUCCAUCUCAAACUUGUUUCAGUUUUUUAGACUGUAAUAUUUUUCAAUACUUUGUUUUUCUUAUCACAGAAUUCAACUAUCUAAAUCAAUCUUUUUGAGAUUCAGCCCAAUUUGUCAGUAUUUAUGCUAUGAAUAAGGAAUACUGACAGAAGUGAAUCUCAUUAUAGAGUAUAUAGCUUGGAGAGCAGUCUUGAUAGUUUUUUCAGAUUAGUCUCAUAAAUAUUUUCCAAUAAAUGUUAUUAGUUUCAAUAUACUUUCAACAAGACUGAAACAAACUGAGGUAUAGAUACACAGCGAUACCGGCACAUUUUAUCCACAAUAUUCAAGUUUUUCCCAGCGUUUUUGUUGGAUUAUUCAUAGAACCGUCUAAUUUUAACUUUAUUUGUAAAUUUUACCACACAAUAAAUACCAUAUCUCAUUGUGAA